rnacentral:rRNA from 1 species
CGGCGCGCUUAACACAUGCAAGUCGAACGAGAAAGGGCUUCGGCCCCGGUACAGUGGCGCACGGGUGAGUAACACGUGGGUAACCUUCCCUCGAGCGGGGGAUAACGUCCGAAAGGAACGCUAAUACCGCAUAAGACCACGGGCUCGAAAGAGCCUGGGGGUAAAAAGUAGGCCUCUGAAUUCACGCUUACACUCGAGGAUGGGGCCCGCGGCCCAUCAUGGUAGUUGGUAGGGUAACGGCCUACCAAGCCGAAGACGGGUAGCUGGUCUUAGAGGAUGAUCAGCCACACUGGAACUGAGACACGGUCCAGACUCCUACGGGAGGCAGCAGUGGGGAAUCUUGCGCAAUGGGCGAAAGCCUGACGCAGCGACGCCGCGUGGGUGAUGAAGGCCUUCGGGUUGUAAAGCUCUGUGGGGAGAGACGAAUAAGACGUGGCUAAUAUCCACGGCGAUGACGGUAUCUCCUUAGCAAGCACCGGCUAACUCUGUGCCAGCAGCCGCGGUAAGACAGAGGGUGCAAACGUUGUUCGGAAUUACUGGG